UACGUAGGGGGCCAGCGUUGUUCGGAAUUACUGGGCGUAAAGGGUUCGUAGGCGGUGCGGCAAGUUGGGAGUGAAAUCUCUGGGCUUAACCCAGAGGCUGCUUCCAAAACUGCUGUGCUUGAGUGUGGGAGAGGCGCGUGGAAUUGCAGGUGUAGCGGUGAAAUGCGUAGAUAUCUGCAGGAACACCAGUGGCGAAAGCGGCGCGCUGGACCAAUACUGACGCUGAGGAACGAAAGCUAGGGGAGCAAACAGG
rnacentral:rRNA from 1 species